AUUGAACGCUGGCGGCGUGCUUAACACAUGCAAGUCGAUCGGUAACAGGUGUAGCAAUACAUGCUGACGAGAGGCGGACGGGUGAGUAAUGCUUGGGAAUCUGCCUAUUAGUGGGGGACAACCCGGGGAAACUCGGGCUAAUACCGCAUACGCUCUACGGAGGAAAGCCGGGGACCGCAAGGCCUGGCGCUAAUAGAUGAGCCCAAGUCGGAUUAGCUAGUUGGUAGGACGACG
rnacentral:rRNA from 1 species